rnacentral:sRNA from 1 species
UUUAUAUUAGUAACUGCCGAAGACAGCAGGUGCCGCAAGGCAUAAGGAGAAAACGCCUGCCGAGGACGAGUGAAAUUCUAGCAAUGAAUUUGUAAACCUCUGUGUCUUCAGGCGCAGAGGUUUUCUGUUAU